UCUCUCUCUCCCCCUCGGUUUCUUCCUCACCCCCUCCCUCCUCUCGCGUUAACUAACAAUCCUUCUCAUUCUCUAUUUCUCUAUUUUUCUCCUCUUUAACAAGGCUCGUUGCAGUAAGUCUCAAGUGCGCGUGGCAGCCCCCCUUUCGGAUGGCGACAUCAUGCGAGUCUGUCAACUCCCAACUUUCUUCUUUUUCUUCCAAAUACGAAGCCGUCACUUUCACACUUGAUCAAUAACAAAUCGGCUGUUGUAUGCCAGGAUAUGGGCUUGCAAGAUACCGGCAGGAAUUAAAAAAGGGCGCUCCGCUGCAGUGCUCACUUUUUGUUAUUCUUUCUUUGUGCGUAAAAAGUCGUCAUUUUAAAAAUGUGCGUUAAAUCAACAGACUGAUGCUCCGUGAUCUCCGUGCGCUUUGUGUUAAAAUCCGCAAUGGGGGUUUCAAAUGGAUUACUACUAUUGUGCACGUCGACUUUCUAACGCCAGACGAAUGUUGCAUUGGUAAGAUAUUUGACAACUGAAAAGUUACAAAAAAAAAAAAAAAAAGAUGGCGCAAAGUACGCUCGAGCGAACGACUCUGUCAGAAUAGUGUUUUGUAGGUAAACAAACUUUUCCUUAUCGACUUUUUUGUGUGUUUAAUUGUAGAAGUGUUUUUUUUUCCUGAGCCGUCACUCCAGUCUGAACGAUUUGCUGUGGCUGUGGCUAAAUAGUUUGCGCAGUAGAUCCAGGAAUAAACCAGAUACACACUCCAAGAAAGUCAUAAACCCUGAAGCCGGGGCAGAUUAGUGCCAACUACACCAAAUCCGGCUGGACCAGUGGAUGUAAUCUCGUUUGAUCACUGCAGAUACAUUUCUUUGCUGAAAUACUGGACAGUAUUUAACAAGUCACUGAUAUCGGUAGUUAAUGUAUUAUUUUUUUAUAUAUUUAAUCUCUGCUAAAUGUGUCAAAAUAAAUUAUUAUUGUUAUUAUUUUUUUUUCUAAAAGUGCAAAUUUGUAGGGCAAACAGAAAAAAAUUAGACGACCAACAUGGCUUUAAAAAAUAUUUGCGCGCUGUUAUAAAUAUUAUUCAGUGUUUCAGACAUCUAAAAGCCGUUUUCAUUCUGUUGACUGACUUUCCAGUUCAAGUCUCAGAUAAGCCGAAAGGGAUCGCUGUAGGCGCUGCUAAAGAGUGUGUGUGUGCACACGCUGUCACGUGUUUCUUACGCUCUGAAAACCUCUAGAGAGCAAAGAAUGAUGACGCUGGUACAGUGGGAGCAGAGUCUGACUUAAGAAAAGAGAGGGAGAGAGAAAGACAGGAGGAGAGGGGGAGAAGGACGGAUACACAAAGCGACCCUACAGUACAGCCUAAUCAGAUGACAGUGAUACGACCAGACCCAGUUUCACAGCCUCCUGUAGUGUUUAGACAAUCAACUAAUUACUGGAACUUCUCUCAUAAUAGCAGGAGCAGGAAGAGCCAGCUGAAUCCACUGGUGCUCAUCAUUUCUAACCGGUUUUAUUUUUUUAAAAAAACAAAAAAACAAAACAGCAGCAUUGUAUUAAACGCAGGUAUUUUGUUAGAGUGAAUUUAUUGUCUGUCAUGAGCUAUAAAAGAAAAUGUCCACGUUUUUUUUAAACAAAUUGUGGGAGCUGAGAAUUAGUGGCACUAUUUUAUUUUUCCUUCAUUUAUUUAUUGCAUAAGAUGUGCGACCAAGUUGUAGAGGGCCCUGGAUGAAGGGUCUAUGCCAUGUGUCAACCUUAAGGCGCUUUGGUUCCGAGUUGCUCUCUGUAGUGGGAGGAGGAGGACCAAUAAUUUGAGAUCACGGAGGCUAUAAUAGCAGUAGGCUUAUGGCAACUGCUACCGCCUCUCAGCUCUGCACCGAUAAAGGAGGAGGUGUAGGUGAGUACAGUUUUGCUCAUUUGCGCUUUUUCUGUGGAAACGUGCGUCUUUGUUUUUUAAGAUGCGUAAAAGUGGGCUGUCCUCGUGUUAUUUAUCCCGAUCCUUUUCCAAAUCUAUGCGAUCGGUAUUUUGAUACCUACUAACUUUGUCUCUUCCUAUUCGCUGUCGUUUCUUCUUUUUUUCUCCCCUUUCCCCCCUGAGAGAACGACUUCGGUUUUGACGCAUGAAAACGGCUUUACGUGGCACAGAAGAAGUGAAUGAAAGAUGAUGCAUGCCACUUAAAAUGCCUGAGGGAGCGAGUGUAAUCUAAAUUGGAUAUAGAGGCUAUUAUUACGCAACAUUAUGCGUUGUGGUGGACUAAUUGCGUGGCUGGAUGAGUUAAACAGUCAGUUAAUGUCGAGUGGCGGACAGGUUUCUGGAGCGCACAAGGUCAGCUGCGCUGCUCCCAAGCCUUUAGUGGUGUACAGAAAAAUGCUUGAAGUAUUCAUGGGAUUUUUAACCAUUCUAAAUCUGUGUCCUAAACCGAUUAGUUGACACCAAUUUUUCUUUGAUGUAUUAGCUGAGGGCUUUUGCCACUUGGAAGCCAAUUGAAAUUCAAAACAGUUUUCGCUCCAAAUGCUUUGGGGAGAUCUGCUGCAAAUAAUGGAUGUAAUUUAUUUUUGACCUUGCUUUUUUUCUUCUUUUUUUUUCUCGAACGGGUGGGUUAUUAAAUGAUUAAACAUAUGUGCACUAUGCUACUUGACUAAACAACUGCGUACAGCCAUGAUUAGCUAUUAUGAUUAUCAUUAAAAGUACAUCAGUAAUUUUCCUCCUUUUAUUUAUGUAUUUUAAGUAGUGAUUGGCAUGACAUCCACUGUAAAGCAGUUUUUUGUGUGUUUUCUUAGUCCUAAUGUUGCAGUUACAGAGUUGUCAAUGCUGUGUUUUCCCCAUUGUAUUAAAAAAAUAAUUGACUGUUUAUUUGUCUUUGUUUUGAACCGUUCAGAUCCAUGUUGAGGAAGUCUUCGAAUGUCACCAAGCAGUCAGUGAAAUGCUGGCCCCCAAACCAAACUCCCAACACACACAAUUCGCAAAUUAAAUUUACUUUAUUCACUUUUUGAAGUGAUAAUUAAUGAACUAGCAGAAACACUCUGAUAGAAUGCUCAGCUCUGCAUCUGUAAUUGUAACGAUCUGUCCUUUUCAAAACAUUAAAUUUGCUUUCCUCACUUCUGAGGCUGUUGCCACUAUUGCAAUGGAUAUUUACAUACAAAGCUUUCAUAUUUUAUAUGAUUAAUCUAACCCCUUUGCUCACACGAAACCGAUACACAAUUCAGAUUUGAUGGCUUGAUAUGACUUUAAAAAAUCAGAUCAUUUACUUGAAACACAAUGAACCACCGUGGCUUUCAGCAGAGAGAAUCUAUAUUCUGAUCUCUUUUCUGUUCAUGCGAUCUCUUCUUCUUUUAUUGACCUGAAUGAAGAUGUAUGGAGUGAGAGUGUGUGUUUCUCCUCCUGAUGGGGUCUGCCCCCCCACCCCCACCCCCCCACCCCUUCUUCUCCCUGUUACCCAUGAUCCCCGCAAGGCUGAAUGGCAGGCCUCGGGAUUGGCUAAAUGAUGAAAUGAUGACCCUAUUAUGAGAAGUGAUUCCAAAAUGAGAGGUAUCAGACAAAGAUUGCACCCUUCUCUCACUGCCACGCCGUCCUCCUGCACCACACUGCCAGCUGCGCAGAUGAUGAUUGAUUUGUUUGGGAUGGAUCACAGGAAGCACCCACUGAUUUUUCUGUGUUUUAUCAAAAAUAUUUAUUUACACUUGUAUCCAUGGGGUGUAUCCGGACUCACCUUAUACCUCAUUUUCCAAAUGGAGGAUGGUAUAAAAAGGGAUAAUCCUCCAUGCUCCGUGACAAGACCGAUGACCUGAAAUAUUAUUUCAGAAAUGAGUCAAUAGGCUCAGUGACUAAAUGAAUAUUGAUUGGCUAUAAUGAAGCCUGAGUGUGAAUAUGAGCUCUUUCAGAGGCCCUGUUGCAGACUCCACUGUCAGCAUCUAUACAGUGAUGCCAGACAUCUCUGACUGAGUGUUUUAGAGCCCUGAAAGUACAUCUGGGACAAAAUAAAUCUCAUGUUAGUGAAUAUCGCAGCUGGUGAAUCCGUAUUCUCAACUUUCCCUUAGUAUUCCUCUCACGGGUGUGCACCUGCAUAUUUUGAUUCAUGAACUCAGAGCUUCCGUGCCUGAGUGUUGUCUAACUGGCUAAGUAGCACGUUUGGUUUAAAAGUGCUAUAGGUGCCAUGUGGCAAUAAUCGAAAUUGUAUACUACUUAAAAGCUCUCGAGGCAUGUAGGAGGUACUUCGGCAAUGCCUUCACAAAGGUAAAGUGAUACAACAUACAAAUCAAAUGACUACCAGAACGCUAAAACCACAGUGUGGGAGCUGUGCCCUAGAUAUUUGCACUGACUUAAUCCAAUUGAAAUAGUAUGAGUGAGUUGCAGGGGCUCCCAGGUCUGUUGCUUGCUUAUGUAUGUGAUGCAUAAUAGAAGUUGACGAGGUUGGUGAUAGAUCACAGCCCAGGUAAUGUAAACACAUUAAUCCCUCAGGGUUCAUGUGCAUGUUCUUUCUCUCUCUUUUUUUUGUUGCUACUAUCAGUCCCUCUCUCUCUCUCUCUCUCUCUCUCUGAUCCCCCCCCCCCUCCAUGUUCAUCAUCUUCCCCUAAAUGCGUUAGUGGAGCACAAACCAGAAGCAGCCUUAAUCUGUCAACAUGCCCUUUAAUUGGAGGGAGAAAACAACACGUGCUUCUGGUUGUGCCAUUCCUAAGUGCACAUGCCAAAGAAACACAGAGUUCACGGAAGAAGUGAUCCCAGGAGAGCGGGGCAUAAUUAAAAGUAUCUUUUAAUAGGCUUGUAAUGCUGAGCCUGACUCUUGUUGCCUUAAGUAGAGGGCGAACUCUGUGGCUGGAGACGGACAUGCGAGGGGCUUCUGCUGAGGGAGCCUGUAAACGAUACGCCGCCUCGCCAUCAUCAGACAUGCAGUCUCUGCCUCAGUCACCACACUCGGGACAGCAGCCACUCUCCACCCCUGCCGCGGACACCUCGGCUUACCCACUCCCGUGUUCUUUUGUUCUCCGAAUGAGGGAUUCUCCUCCACAACAUCACCUCUCCUCCUCUCCUUCCCGGCCACUUUGGCAAGUUGUGUUCUACCUCCUACUCACAGCACCAGUGGGGAGUGAGAACUGGGACUACAGGGUUGAUUUGGGGCCUGCUACACUGUAAUCAAAUGAGACUGCUUAGAGGAGAGGAGAAGGAGGAGGUGGAGUAUUAUGUUCUGUCGUGCAUUCCACCGCAGCAUUGUUGCUUUUUUGUUUUUGUCAGGGCAGGCUUUGAUGCUGUAUCCCCUUACCUUUGUAGUCCCGGUAGCCAUGUUUCAUAAACACAGAAUGGGAAACAUCCUCAGCAUUAGAAAUUUAGAUUGCUGCUUUCCUCCUGCCACUCUGCAUUCCACACGUGCCCGGUCGCAUUCUCCAUCUCCCCGUGCUGAGGUAUUAAGUUUCCUCUCCCAUGCCUCUGAUACAUUUAAACAUCUUACAAUCAGCCGCUUUUAUUCUGUGUGUCAUGUAUAAUCUGUGGCAACAACAAUGCCAACAUGGCUCUGUGUUCCUCUCUCUCUCUCUUGAUACUGAACCAGUCCGCUGCCACUGCUUUGUUUCAGGACAAUUGCACAUGCAAAAUGCUUACUUGCUUGAAAUUGAGAAGUUUCCAGGUGUCCAAUUUAGACUUUGUCUCUAUAAUUGAGAGUGUAAUAUUAACACCAAUCUAAGCAUUCCAUAGUACACUCCUUGCUUGGUAUUAUCACACAGGGAAUUGGCAGCGCUCACUUGUCUUUGUAGUUUAACUGAAAAUCUCAAUGGGAUACAGUGUAAUGUUAUUCUAAAACUAUCUCAUCUCAUUAAAACUCAAAGUGUUCAGCUCUGCUUCCCAUAUUUUAUUGUCUCAUUGCAGUUUUUGCAAUAUAUUGUAUUCUCAGGAGACUAAUUUCACAUGUAAUUGAAUAUUUAAGUGUCAAACAUCGAUGAGGAUUAUUAUAAAAUAAUGACAUUAUUUUCACAUAAGGGUUUUUUUUUUUAUUAGAGAAGGUACAGGUUCUACUUUUGUCAUCAGAAACCUUCUUCUCUGUACUGUGCUGAGCCUCAGGUUCUUGCCUUCUUCUUCUUCUUCCUCCUCUUCUUCGAGAGUAUCGUUUUGUCCAACAUCUGACACACUGCCCUGGGUGAUUGAGCCAGACGUGGAAAUCCAAAGCGGAGAUGCUCUCCUUAAUGCCUGACACCUGGUGCAGAUUUGGAGGGGAUUGCACUACAGUCUUAUUUAUUGAUAUUAGUGAUGCGGUUGUCAUUCUGCGCUGUGAUCUGUCCUCUGUCUGGGUGAAUGCUGAUAAGAUGACACAAUGCAAAUAUGAAGUGUGAGGGAGCCGCCUUGGCAAGCAGAGGCUGUGUGCAGCUCUGUCGUGGGUCCUUAGUGCUCCAGCAGCCUGGUCAAAAAGACAUCCUGGCAGUGUCCCAGGAUGGAUGCAUCGCCCACGCACACUGCCCUCGCCAGCUCCCAGAAGUCUUUGUGGUGAACCACUGACCGUGCUGCUCCCUAUUUUCCUCCAGCCCAGCAAAUAAUGUGUCAGAAAAAGAUUAUUGAUAGCCCAUAAAAGAAGAGCCAGAAUGUUGUUGCCUCUCUGCUCCAACUUUAAAGAACAAUACAAGUGCUAAACCAUCACUUUGAAUGCUGCACUGCGCCUGAAAGAGCGCAGGAUUUAUUUUUCUCAUUGUUGUUCAGUUUGGAUAAAAUGAGCUACAACUGGAACAUGAACAGACAACAAUAACUUCUAUUUGUUUAAAAUGCUGCUUCAUUCUUCUUUACAUUUGAAAACCUUGUAGUGAGGUUGGCAACCUUGUACUGGGUCUUUUCAAAACGGAGGGGAAAAAAAAAAGAUUACCCAAAAGGAACAUUUAAAUUUCCUCUCUGCUCUGUUGAGUCAUUCAUUUUUUCGCCCAGUUUACCAGACGUUGGCAAAGCUGCUGCUCAUCUGGCCUAAAUGUGGCCUGAGUGGGUGAUUCUUAGACACAUGAGGGAAGCUAUAUUUACAGAAUUAACGACGCACUCCAUCCGCCACACAACAGCUGCCUACUACACUUAGCUGAUUGAGACUGCAGGCCCGUUCCCAUUUGCAGAGCGCCGUGAUUGAACAGUUGGGCAAGCUUUAUGUGUGUUUUUGCUCCUCUCAUGCUAGAAAUCAACACUGACACUGCCAUACAAAAGCAAACGCUGUAUCGGGCAGGUUGUCUGUGUUGGGGACUGCAUGCGAGAAACCCUUUUUUUUUUUUUUUUUAAUCCAAUGUUUCACUUUUAAUGCUGUCCGGCCGUCUUAUCAGUAUUUUCGCGGAGGCAGUGGGGGAUGUUUCGCAGAGACAGAGCAAGAUUCAUCUGAGCAGUGAUGCUGUUUAAAUAUGAGAAGGAGCGAGUGUUUCAAGUGUGUGUGUGUGUGUGUAUCUACAGCACUGCGUUUUGCUGUAAAAUGUGUUUAUGUUCACUGCAGGCAUAAUUCACAGUCUGUGUUCAAGAGCUUUAGGCCAUACAGACACAUGACUGGCAGAUAUUUUUUUAACAUUAUGAGAAAAAGAACAAAAAAUAAAUCGGUUUGUGUUAUGAACCACACUUCUGAAUAGUAGAUAUAAAAAAAAUGGGAACAUGUUUGAAUUUUCAUGUCAUGGCUAAAUUUUAUUUCAAACUCUACAUUAUUUGUCUUGGUAUCUUCUCAGUCAAAUCCAGAUGUCAGUAACUUAUACAAAGCCAGACAUAAGCAGGGAAUCAUAACGUAUAAUAGGAAUAAUGGCCCUUUGAUUUUUGGUUUUCCUAUUGGAACACCUGUCACUUUUUGGCAAGGGCACACCACAGCACCAGGUCUUCUUUGGUAGCACUGGGGGAGGAGUGAAUGAGUGUGUGUGUGUGUGUGUGUGAGAGUAUGAGUGUGUGAGAGAGUGAAAGAUGAAACAGCCGCCGAGGAGGCCGUGAUCACACAGACAGACGGGGUGAGUGACAGACAAUACCUGCUGUAAAAUUCCCUCACAUCUCCCCUGAUCUGUAUUCAUAGAUCUCGGCUGCUACGCACUGCAAACUGUAGCCCACACCAGCGGGCUCUAUUGGCACACCGCCCCGCUCAGUUUCACUCUUGCAACUCACUACACAGACCCCUUUUUCUCUCCUUCCCAAAAUAUUUGCCGUCUUUUGUUCUUUGUCUAAAUGAUGCCUCUGAUCACAAGGUGAAAGCUGAAAGGAACUGUGUGACAAAUAUGGACUUCUAAUCGCACCUAAUUCUGUUCCUUCGAAUGUAAGGCUCCCCUUUUCAGCAUGUUCUUACACUCUAAUACCUCAGAGAUGACUACUUUCUUGGCAUUUUUUUUUUUUGCAAACGACUACUUUCCUUGCUGAGAAUGAUGAAUGAAAAGCCUGAAAUAAAUGUUCAUUUUGCUCCUUC